CCUGCCUUGACUGCGCCCCCGCCUCCCUCCCCACCCCGCCGUGCUCCCUCUCCCUCCCCUCUAUGGUCGUAUGACGCCCGCUGCCGGCGCAACCUCCCUUCACCCCCGCUCGACGUCGCCCUGCCCAUCUGCCUCUCCCAUGGCGCACGGCACCUGCCGCCGGACCCGCCCUUCCGCCAUCUCCUGUAUCGUCGGCGCAACCUCCCUUCGCACCGCUCGCCGUCGGGUUGUCCGGCCCAUGCGCCUCUCCUACGACGCCAGCCUCCAGCCCCGCCAUCUCCUGUGGUGCACGACGCCCGCCGCUGGCCCCGCCCUUCCGCAUCUCCUAUGGCGCGCGCGCCUGUCCGUCGGCCACGCCCGUCCGCCUCUCCUGUGGCACACGACUGUUGCUGUGUACGUCUGGAACAACGCCACAGGGUGGCCCUCCCUCAUCGGUCUUUGCAUCUUCAAUGAUUCAUCCCGGGAGCCAUAUGAUCUGUCAGAUGAUGACACUAAUUUGCAGAAGAAGUUCACACGUCUAAGGGAUCAUGCAGCUGCACUGCGAAACUACUGUAUAAUCCUGACCUUUCUUUCUUUUGUCUUCACAAGGUUGAAAGCGCUCUUGGUUCUGCUGAAAAGCUUGUGAGAGCAUCACCUGAUGAGCUGUUCCACUACUAGGGUGAUCUUGUUCAAGCACUGGUACAUGUUCGUUGUUCUGAUGUCGUGAUAGAAGGUGAGGAAGAUUUUGCGGAAGAAAAGCGACAGAAGGCAUUAGUCGCCUUGCUGAAGAAGAAUUGUACAAUGCGGAAAGAUGUUAUUUGCAUCUGCAAAGAGGGAUCAUAUUUGUAGAUUGAUUCCAUAAGAAUCAGGAGCAGGAGCUAAUGGACAGUCAGUGAGCCCCAAGGGCGGUGGCCCCUGCAACAUGAAGAAGACCAUCCAGACAAAGGGGAGGUACACGGAUAGCCAAGGAUGCAAGGAGACGUGCAGCGAUGGAGAUUUGCCUGAAUGUUGCUUUCCUCCGCGUGAAGUGCCUAGAAUUCUCGAAGGCGUCAACAAGACCCGAAGGAGAUUGACAAAGUAUUGACAAGGUUUGGUUGCAUCAACGAAUUGAUUUAAGACAAGAUAACAAUGGGAACCAUUGUCCUAAAGUCAGCUGGAUCAUCAAAGUUCUCUGUGCAGCAAAGCCUGAUAGGCGUGUUGGAUGUUGCUGCAUGUCUCAGCCAACAGAGUGAUGAUACUGCUGUUGGAUCUCCAGCAACAUGCUACCAUAGCUCUUCGGGAAGCAAAAAGCUGAGAAUUGGCAGAUGACCGAUCUCAUGUUGUGAUGUGCUUUAGGUGUGUUGCUCACCGUUCUGGCUGUUUUGUUGUUUCAAACAUCUCAAUUUAGUUUGGUCAUUCGAGAACUAUAGCGUGGUCAAGUGUAUUGACUUUGUCGUUCAGCUCUCCGCUUGAGAUUAUUUUAGUUCUGAUUUACUUUCAUUUACUUUGUUUUGCAAGUAGCAUGUCCUUAGCGUGCCACCGUGUCAGUACAAUGCCAGUUUUUGUGUUUCAUAUAAUGCUUAAUUACAGUUGAUUGUA